AGCAGGGUGGCCCAGUGGAAAGGGCACAGGCCUGGGAGUCAGAGGACCUGGGUUCUAAUCCUGACUCUGCCA
rnacentral:tRNA from 1 species